AUGCACGCUAGCGGCAGGCCUCACACCUGCAAGUCGCGGGAGAAGCCCUUUCGGGGGCAGAAACCGGCGCACGGGUGCGUAACGCGUAUGCAACCUACCUUUCACAGGGGGAUAGCCCGAAGAAAUUUGGAUUAAUACCCCAUAAUAUUAUUGGAUGGCAUCAUUUGAUAAUUAAAACUGCGGUGGUGAAAGAUGGGCAUGCGUCCUAUUAGCUAGUUGGAGUGGUAACGGCACCCCAAGGCUACGAUAGGUAGGGGUCCUGAGAGGGAGAUCCCCCACACUGGUACUGAGACAGGGACCAGACUCCUACGGGAGGCAGCAGUGAGGAAUAUUGGUCAAUGGUCGGAAGACUGAACCAGCCAUGCCGCGUGCAGGAAGAAUGCCUUAUGGGUUGUAAACUGCUUUUAUAUGGGAAGAAUAAGGCGUACGUGUACGUUGAUGACGGUACCAUAUGAAUAAGCAUCGGCUAACUCCGUG
rnacentral:rRNA from 1 species